GUAGGCGACCGGUUGUCCCUCAGAGUGCCCGCCACUCUAGAAACAAAAGCAGAGGAAGAUCAGCUCCCUCCACACAGGUGGGGGUCCAAUAGACAGGCUCUCCACCGUUUCUCUUUAUCAGCUCGGUCUGAGUAGGGGCUUGGGGUUCCCAAUUGCAGAAUCCGGUAGGAUCCGGAAAAACCCACCGAGAUCCAAACCAAAUCUCUUUUAGUUUGGAGAUACCGAGAUACUGAGAAGACGGCCCCCAGGGCACUCGCUUCGAGGAGUUCAAACACACCUGCCUAAGUCUGUGCUGAGAGCGAAAUCACUCUGAAAGCUACAGACCAAGCCUAUGGCUCAGGAUGAAGCUCUCAACUCCUUCUCCAGUACCAUGCCUGCUAUGCCUGCUGCCAUGAUGAUAAUAGACUAAAUCUCUGAAAAUGUAGCCAGUACCUAAUUAAAUGGUUCCUUCUAUAAGAGUUGCCUUGGUAGAACCCUGACUAAGACACCAAGAAAUGGCUCAUCCUGAAUGAAACUGGAUCAAACAUAUUCCUAAAACAUAGUCUUCUCCAAUGGUGGACUCUACACUUCUGAAGUCUUCCACUUAUGCCUAAUCCUGCGUCCUCCUCUAGCCUAUCAUAUUGAUGAAUCCGUCUUCCAUCUUGACUGAAAAAUUUAAAAAUUAAAAGCAGUGUUCUUGAAGGAUUUUCAACAACACAAAAGUAAUAGAAGUAAGUGCUAUUUUUAGUAUCACCAUAAUUCUAUAAAAAUAUUCACUCUUUGGAAAGGAAACAGACCCAUAUUUAUAUGUGCUUUUAGUUUAUAUUCUCAGAGGUUUGUAAAUUAAUAAGUAUGCAUGGGUAAAUAUUUAUGUACAUGCAAUUUAUUUAAACAAAACCAAAUUUAAACCCAGGUGUAAUAUAAACCCCGCUGUUAUACGCAGAGACAGAGUUCUCUACAUGCUUAAAUUUAGUCCCUUUCUGAUUAUGGUAUCUGAUCUGAUUAGAAAAAAUAAUGAAAGAAAUACCAGAGGGAGAAGGGAGGAGGGAGGGAGGGAGCUGGGAGGGAGGGGAGAGAUGGAGGAGCAGGUUAGAUUUCUGGAAUCUCGUGUGGAAUCUCGUCAAUCUUAAAAGGAUUGGUGAGUCAAACCUCAGUUCGUCUCCCUACCCGAUUCUUUGAGGGCCCAUUUUGAUUCAGUCAGUCAUUCUUCUUUAGUACCUUUAAUUAUCAUUUGCCCGAUUUUCCUUUGCUGAAACUAUAAUAUUAAAUGUGCAUAAUUGAUCAUAGAAGUGCAUGCCUUUUUAGCCCUCAGCAGCCAGGCUUCCUACUGACCAAAAAGCUGCAUCUUCCCACUGUGAGUGCCCUUUGCAAAUUGGUGCUGUCUGUGGCCCUCAGUGUCACUGUUUAAUAAAUGUCUAAUAUCCGGACAGUGCUUAUGCUAGGUGCUGUAACCAAGACCUGACAUCACAGACUCAUAACAGAUUCUUAUGUUGGCUCAGAGUUUUGGAGGUCUUAGGCUCCAUUGCCUCUGGACCUGAGGUUAAGCAGCCAUCAUGACUAGGACUGGAGCAGAACUACUUGUCACAGUGCCAGAUAACAAAAGAAGGAUCAGAAGGAAGAGACUGGGAUCCUACAUUCUCUUAUUCCCUUAUGACUUCCCACCAGGCUCCAUCUUUUGAAGAUUCUCCUGCCUCCAAGGGGUGGUUAAGUGGGAGCCAAGACUUUAGCAGGGAGUCUGUGGAGGGCACUCAGAACCCAACUUUAUGUAGCAAUAUAGUAAUAAAAAUGGAAAUACAUAAAACACAAUGUUCUAGUUCCAUUUCUGUCACUGUGAUAAAAGUAAUUUAUGGGAAAAAGGAUUUAUUUUAGCGCAUAAUUCCAGGUUGUAGUCAAUCACAGCAGGGAAAUCAAGACAUCAGGAAUCUAAAAGUGUAACAAAUAAAUCCAUUUUCCCUCUUGGCCAAUUAUUUCCAAACAAUAACAACUCUGAGACUAAUAAUUUGUCAAUAAAUGCCUAGGCCAC
ensembl:lncRNA